GUGUCAGCCGCCGCGGUAAUACAGAGGGUGCAAGCGUUAAUCGGAAUUACUGGGCGUAAAGCGCGCGUAGGUGGUUUGUUAAGUUGGAUGUGAAAUCCCCGGGCUCAACCUGGGAACUGCAUUCAAAACUGACUGACUAGAGUGUGGUAGAGGGUGGUGGAAUUUCCUGUGUAGCGGUGAAAUGCGUGGAUAUAGGAAGGAACACCAGUGGCGAAGGCGACCACCUGGACCAACACUGACACUGAGGUGCGAAAGCGUGGGGAGCAAACAGGAUUAGAAACCCCGGUAGUCC
rnacentral:rRNA from 1 species